rnacentral:lncRNA from 1 species
CCGUAAGCUUAAAUAAACCCUUUCUCCUGGAAGCUGCCUUGGUCAUGGCGCUUAUCAGAGCACCAAGAAAGUAAGCAGUGCGUUCUCACAUCUGGAACAUGAAGGAAAGCUGGACGGAGAUUGAGUGCCACGAGCCGUUUUGAAACCCUUGGUACUUUUGACAGCAGGGCCUUAGCGUUUGAGACUACAGGAAAGCUAACUACCAUGGUACUCUUAAUUAGUCACAGGCCCCCAUUUGGUUCUCUGCUAGCCAGGCACAGAUGUCACGGGUAGUGUCACACACAGUCAGAAGUCACUGUUGAGCCUACUAAAAUGGAGUCCCUUACUUUCCCUAGGGAGUUCAGUCUGUCUGGACUUCUGCAGACUGUCACUUUCUUUCUGGGCCUCUUAAGCCCCAAGAACACAUCAGUUAGGCAGUAGAGACAUGAGCCCCACCUGUACCCACCCCUGCUUCCCCGGAUCCGGGUAUCACCUUCUGGAUAAAAACGCUUUGGCUUGAAGAGUAAGUAAGCUUUGCCCUCACAGGUUCUCUGACAGAGCAUCACACUGUCAGGGUAUCUUCUUGUGAACUUGGCUCCAAUGUCAGCAGACUUGAGUCAGAUAUGGAGCCAAUUGUAAGGGUCCAUGAUUGGUCAAAGGAGGAUACCCCGGACUCAAAUAAUACGCAAGAACAAAGAGUGUCUUAUUCUGCAGAAAUCCUGCAUGUGAGGGGUCCGCCAUUUACCAAGAUAGAGCCGCCCAGGUAAGCUUGCAGGCCCAAUUCAAAGGACAUUAGGGGAAUUCCAGGGAGGGGUAGGUGACCUUUAUCUUGAUUGGUUUCUGUCAAUAUCUUGGGACGUUCCAGAACCAUCGUUGGAAACUGUUGCUAACUGUUUUUUCCUCGGGCCAGGUGGCAGGGCAUCUUUUGAUGGUGGGGGUGGCUUUUAAUUGGCUGCCCUCCGACUGUGUUUGUUUUUCCCUAGUAACUGACGUGUGUAGACUUACCCAGUUCUGGGAAACAGAAAUGUAGGCCUAGUCUCCUGAACGCCUAGUUUGAAGCCUGUCAUGGAGUCAGCUUGUCUCACUGUGACUUGACUCCUCCACCCUAAAAGUCACCUUUUAUACUCCGGGGACAUACUGACUGAUUUAGAGUUGUGUUGAAUCCGGUACCCGCCAGCAUGGAAUGGGAUAGUAC